GAUGGGGAAGAAAUGGCGAUCAACAGUGUUGUUGUCACGGAAGAAGUUGAUCGAGUUUUGAAAUCAGUUGAAUGUCUGGUAGAAGCAGAGGGUGAUAAGGAGUUGAAUACAAUUCUGGCGUUUGAUUGCAAAUGCAGAGGGAGUCGAAAAGAGAACACAGAAGGCUGUUGUAUAAAACACCUGUCUCCGGAUAACAUCUUCAAAAUAAGGACAACCAUUGCAUCAGUGACAGAGAGGGAGAAAGAUCUGAUGAUUCUUAUAGCAUUGCACACGGUCAGUGUGAACCAGAGUGACUUGACACAACAGCCUAAACAAGCUGUACAAACAAAACGGAAACGACACAGGACGUCUUAUUUAAUGAAAGGGGUUGCAGUCUCCCGUGAAGCGUUCAUCCAUGUAUACGGCAUCAGUAGAACACGCCUGACUCUCCUCCAACAGUCAACAAGUCAACUACUUGAUUGAUGAAGGCAUGUCAUCCAGCAAAGGCAGCAGCACAGUCAUCAACUACAUGCACCAUUUCUUCACCAACUAUGGAGUUGGGGAAACAUGUGGACCUGAAUUGUGAUGACUGCAGUGGCCAAAACAAGAACAAGUUUGUGCUCUGGUAUUGUGCCUGGCAGACCAUGCACAAGCUCCACCACAGUCUGGACCUUCACUUCCUGAUCACAGGCCACACCAAGUUUGCCCCCGAAUGGUGCUUCGGCCUCGUCAAGCAGCACUUCAGAAAGACCAGAGUGAACACUUUGUCCGAGAUUGCUUGUGUUGUGAAGGACAGCACUGUGACAGGGGUCAACAUCCCACAGCUGGUUGGACUGGAGAAUGGUACGGUGGUGGUGGAAAGCUAUGGCUGGCAACAACACCUGACUCCGUACUUCAGGCCGCUGCCACAGAUCAAGUAGUACCAGCACUUCAGCCUGGUGUUGUUGUCGCCAAGGAGCGUUCGGACUCAGUCAGGACCAGGUUUCAGCUGCUGCGCAACGCUGACGUCCUUCCUCCCAUAGAUGGUCUGCGUGUACAAGCACCACCUGGACUGGACACAGCUAGACAAACGUAUACUUUUGAGAAGAUCAGGGAGUUUUGCGACGAAGAGGCUAUGGACAUCACAUGCCCUGCACCAAAGUCAAGGGCAGGACACAAACAGGCUCUCCGAAUAUAGAUUCCCUUGUUCAAGUGUGGUUCGGAUGGACCAGUUCAUCACUGGGGGCGAGUUCCCAGUCAUCAGAAGAAGACAAAAAUAAAUGUGGAUGCUGCCAUGAUAAUCAUGAAUGAAUUGUGAAUAAUGAUGAGUGAGAAAGUUAGAAGCAUAAACAUCAUACUUCCCAAAAAUCAUGUUUUGGGGGCAUGAUCUUUGUGCAUCUGUAACUUUCUCACUCAUCAUUAAUCACGAUUCAUUAAUGAUUGCCAUGGUUAAUGUAGAAGUGUUCAGAAACAUAUAUUAUAUGUUUAUUUACAAGUGACUGCAAAAUGACAUAAUCCAUUAUUUACCAUUAAUGUUUAUUUGGCACAACAUAAUCUGAAACACAACCAAAACAAACU